rnacentral:rRNA from 1 species
UACAGAGGUCUCAAGCGUUGUUCGGAUUCACUGGGCGUAAAGGGCGCGUAGGCGGCGCGGGCAGUCAACGGUGAAAGCUUGGGGCUCAACCCCGAGUCGGCCGUCGAUACUCCCGUGCUUGAGCACUGUAGAGGCAGGUGGAAUUCCGGGUGUAGCGGUGGAAUGCGUAGAGAUCCGGAAGAACACCGGUGGCGAAGGCGGCCUGCUGGGCAGUAGCUGACGCUGAUGCGCGACAGCGUGGGGAGCAAACAGG